CAUCCCAAUGAUGAAUGAUAUGAAGAAAAAAAAUGUUAAAAGUAGUGACUGAUUAUACCUUGAUUACUAAUCAAUUCUGAGGGAUU
rfam:Arabidopsis lyrata subsp. lyrata unplaced genomic scaffold ARALYscaffold_7, whole genome shotgun sequence.